UACGUAGGUGGCGAGCGUUGUCCGGAAUUACUGGGUGUAAAGGGCGUGUAGGCGGGACUGCAAGUCAGAUGUGAAAUACCGGGGCUCAACUCCGGGGCUGCAUUUGAAACUGUAGUUCUUGAGUGCAGGAGAGGAAAGCGGAAUUCCUAGUGUAGCGGUGAAAUGCGUAGAGAUUAGGAGGAACACCAGUGGCGAAGGCGGCUUUCUGGACUGUAACUGACGCUGAGGCGCGAAAGCGUGGGGAGCGAACAGGAUUAGAUACC
rnacentral:rRNA from 1 species